ensembl:lncRNA
UAUGUACUUGGAGACACAAUUUGCUGUCCUUUUGUUUCUUUCUGCCAUUUUUGUUCUAUUUUCUCAUCUCUCUUUUAAUCAUUUAUCAUUGUGCAUUGAAAUUCUGAUUUUAGUAGCUGUGCUUCAGGAAUCUGUGCUUCAAUAAACUUUCCCCAUUCACUGACUCACAUCUUGUUCUAUCUGUCCUGUCCAAUAGACAUUUGAUUUUGGCUCUGCAACUACCAUUUAUAUUUUUGAUCCUAUUGCUUCAACAUAUAUUCCUUCUGUAGAACACCUAAUUUGUAGCCCUAAUUUAUAUAAUGCAUCUCUUCCUAACAAAUUGAUUGGAGUCUGUUUUGAUACCAGAAUGGGCAUUGUUAUACUUUGAUCUUUUGUUUGUAGACACACUGGAGCUGUUAUUGGAAUUAAUUGCAUUUUUCCCUGAGAAUCCUAUUGUCUUUGCAAAUUUUUCCAGACAAGAGGAGAUGUGAGACAUAUUUUAAAUUUAAACAGGUAUAAAAACACCUCUGUGUCUAAAAUCAUGGGUGUGUUUUUUUUUUCUUCUAUUUUAUUUUACAUAAUAAGCUCUUGAUCAGCUUUAGUUGUUAAAAUUGGAAGCUGACUCUCCCCUGUAGGAUUCUCUGGGCACCCAUAAUAGCCUGAAUUGAGACCUCCCCAAGGGUUUACUGGGCCCUGUACUGGACCUUGGUUAGGCUGUCGCCAGCUCUCUCCCUUCCACACUGAGGGUACUUUUAAGGUGGAUAGGUGGGAUAGUCAUUUUUAUUAUGUCCGGGCUGUUCCAUCUGACCAGUAUACGUCUCUUCCUCUCUGGCCUCGCUGUAUGGGUUUCUUUCUCUCUCCCAUUGUCCUGGCUGUUGAGUAUAAACAUUAGUUAUGGGCACAGGGAUUGGGUGUGCAUUUGGAGGGAUUGCUGUAAGUGGGCUAAACAAUGUUGCCAUUACUGAGUCUCUUUCUGGAUCCCCCUCAGUUUCUUGCUUCCACCUUGUCAGCUGUUUUUGAACAUAUGUGGUGGGAUUUUCUGUGUUUCCCAGCUCUUGUCUCUUCAAUGAUUUAGGAUUCAGUCUGAUCGGGUACUCCACACACAGUGCCUGCCACACUGCUGGACCGAAUGCAACAAAAACAAUUACAUCCAUAUUACGAGAGUUCACUGCUCUGUUUAGAGUAGUAGACUGGUUGCUGUCGAGGAGGUUGUUCUGUGUGAGAAAGGCAGAGACUUGGUUGAACACAGCUCAUUUAAGUGUUUUUGCAAUGAAAGUAAGAAGGGAAACUGGUCUGUAGUUCUCUAAAAGAGUGACGUGACAUACAUACAGCCAAGUAUGGUUACACCUAAUCUUUUAAGUGUUUAAGGGUGGGUUUCUUAAGUAGUGAGGUAGUGAGGUUAUACGAGCCUGUCUAAAGGCUGAGGGGGAAAAAAAAACAGUGUGAAGGGAUGUGUUAAUGAUGUAAGUGAGUGCAGGUACAACUGCAGGAGAAAUGGCUUGAAGGAGAUGAGAUGGAAUAGGAUCAAGCAGACAAGUAGUAGGAUGAUUAGAAAGGAUAAGUUUGGAGACUUCUGUCUCAGAGAUUGAAGAGAAGGAUGUGAAUGAGUGUAUGCUUGCUGGUAAGAUGUGCUUGACAGAUUGUGGUGUGGAAAAUUGUGCAUUGAUGGUUUUUAAAUUUAUUAAUGAAGAACGUGGCAAAGUCGUCAGCUGUUAGAGUUGACGAAGGAGGGGGAGGAUGCUAAAGAGCAUGCAAGAGUUGGACAAAUUGUUAAUUUUUGUCAUGAUAGUAUGUCCUUUUAGCAAUGGAGACAUUAACAGAGAAGGAAGAGAGGAGUGACUGAUACACAUUAAGGUCAGUGGUAUUUUUUUGAUUUGCACCGCACCCUUUCAUGAUCAGUGAAGCAGUGUCAUGAAAAUUAGGUCCAGUUGGUUGCCUGAUUUGUGUGUAGCCAUGGUUAACACUCUCUUGAGAUCAAAAGAGGUAAGCAGACUUCAGGUGGAUGUUGAAGUCUCCAAGCAUAACUAGGGGACUACCAUCCUCAGGAAAAGUUGAGAGCAGCACAUCUAAUUCAUCCAAGAAGUUACCUUGUGGUCCUGGGGGUCGAUAAACGACUACAAAAUGGAUUUUAAAAGUGGGGGCAAUAGUGACUGAAUGUGAUUCAAAGGAACUGUUAAUACCCAAAGAAGGUAAAGGAAUAAAUUUCUAAUCAUUGGCUGCAGCAAAAGCAGACCAGUAUCUCCAUCUCAUCCAGUCAGAUGGGAAGUGUGGGAAAAUGAGAAAUUAUUGAAGAGUGCUGUAGGAGUAGGUUUGAUCCAUGUCUUUGUCAGGAUCAUGAGGUUUAGUCCUAAUUGACUAGUAAUAUAUGUAAUGAAAUCUGCUUUGUUUACUGCCGACUGACAAUUCCAGAG